rnacentral:rRNA from 1 species
UACGAAGGGGCUAGCGUUGCUCGGAAUCACUGGGCGUAAAGCGCACGUAGGCGGGUCCUUAAGUCAGGGUGAAAUCCUGGAGCUCAACUCCAGAACUGCCCUUGAUCACUGAGGAGCUUGAGUUCGGGAGAGGUGAGUGGAACUGCGAGUGUAGAGGUGAAAUUCGUAGAUAUUCGCAAGAACACCAGUGGCGAAGGCGGCUCACUGGCCCAUACUGACGCUGAGGCGCGAAAGCGUGGGGAGCAAACA